UUCUCUACAAAACUCAAGUUCUAAACUCUACUAAGAAACAAAAGAAUGGCCAUGGAACAAGAAUUAACGUGCCAACCCUCCCUAUAGCAUGUGCUGACGCUGACUCAGUUGGGCAAGCUGCUCGUGGGUCUUCCUAUGACGCACACAAGGAUGAUGAUGAUGAUGAUCUGCAAAUGUUGGAGGGUGUUAAUCUUUACAUUCAUUGAAACUGUCACUGGAAAAUGGCCAAUCCAAUAUAGGAUGCCAGCAACCUUUUUAUUUCUCCUUUGUGUAAAGGCUGGUUGCUUCAUGACUAUGCUUCCUUUUGAUGAUCAUCAG
rnacentral:lncRNA from 1 species